rnacentral:rRNA from 1 species
UGGGGAAUUUUGGACAAUGGGCGAAAGCCUGAUCCAGCAAUGCCGCGUGUGUGAAGAAGGCCUUCGGGUUGUAUAGAACUUUUGUCCGGAAAGAAAUGGCUCUGGUUAAUACCUGGGGUCGAUGACGGUACCGGAAGAAUAAGGACCGGCUAACUACGUGCCAGCAGCCGCGGUAAUACGUAGGGUCCAAGCGUUAAUCGGAAUUACUGGGCGUAAAGCGUGCGCAGGCGGUUGUGCAAGACCGAUGUGAAAUCCCCGAGCUUAACUUGGGAAUUGCAUUGGGGACUGCACGACUAGAGUGUGUCAGCGGGGGGUAGAAUUCCACGUGUAGCAGUGAAAUGCGUAGAGAUGUGGCGGAAUACCGAUGGCGAAGACAGCCCCCUGGGCUAACACUGACGCUCAUGCACGAAAGCGUGGGGAGCAAACAGG